CCACAGGUGGACGGUCUCCGGGUGGAUGCAGCAGGAGGGAGCAGAUGGAGGGAAAGGAGCCGCCCCAGCACCUCGCAGGAGCUCAGCCCUUCCCCAGGCCAACAGGCCGGAAAGCCCAUUGGAUCAUUGAAUGUCAGAGUAGAAGAGACCACAGACAUCGAAUGAUCAGUUGAAAUAACAGUUUUUCAGCUGAAAAAAAGAGGAAUUCCAGAGUCUUUCAGUGAAGCUCACGGGUCUCACUGGUCCCUUGGCGGCGCCCUUCCCAGAGUUCUUUCAAGGUCUGUGACCCUCUCGAAGCCAGGUUCCGGGAGGGGUUUUUACCUUUGCCCGGUCCCUGGCAGUGCUGGGAACUGCCGUCCGAUUCAUUUCAUCUCUCGAUUUGGCGGAGUAUUCGGAAGGGGCGAGAGAUGAGGCGUGAAGGGAGGGACGCGCGCGGCCACGCUCCCCGCAGGACGCGGCUCCGGACCCGGCGUCGGGGCUCCGCGGGACCCAGGUGUUCCCGAGGGGAAGAAACUGGCAGAAAGUGGACGCCUCCGCCCGCUGCCCCCCCCCCCCCCCCACACACACACAGGUAACGGCACCACAGCUGCCUUCCGCACACGCGGCUCCCGGCGCCAACGCCAACGCCAACGCCUCCGCGCCCUCCGGGACCCUCCGACCCCGGCUCAAGCUCCUCCCCGCCCGCGGGCCCCGGCGGGAGCGGCGGCGGCGGCGGCGGCGGGGAGCGGGGAGCGGGGAGCGGGCCGCGCUCGCUGCCAUUGGCUGUGCGGCCCGAGGGGCGGGGGGCCCCGCAGUCCCGCCGGCUCCGCGGCCCCGGCUCCCGCCCGCCCUCCCGCAGCCGGUGCGCUCGAGCCCUGCGCUCCCCGGACGGCCGCGCGGGGGCGGGGCGCCGAGGCGGGGGCGGGGGCGGGGGCGGGGCGCGGCGGGGCGCGGGCGGGGCGCGGGCGGGGAGCUCAGCGCAGCUCCAGUCCGGGCCGGGCCGGCGCGCCGCGGGAGGGGAGGUCGCCGCGCGCGGGCUCGCAGGUCAGUGCGAGGCUCCCGGCGCCGCCUCGAGCGGGGCGGGGCGUGGGGGCCGGGGCCGGGGCGGGGGCCGGGGCGCCGGGCCCUGGGGGCGGGCUCGCCCUCCGCGGGGAGCGCCCUGCCUCCUCUCCUGGGGCGGCCUCCGCUCCCUCCGAGCGCCCCCCCCGCGGCUCUCCGCGGCUCCCAGGGGUGUGGCUCCGUCCUGGGAGCCCCCUGAGUGCAUCCCCUCGGCGGCCAGCAGGCUCCGCGGGUCGGCGGUCGCGAUCCUCGGGAGGACCCGGCGGGGCUGCGCAGGGCCGCGGCCCCGGGACGACCCGCUCCUGUCCCGGACACAGCCGGGAGGAUCUGCCCUCGCGAGCGCUGCUGCAAGCAUUGAUUCCGCCGUCAAGUGGUCGUCUGUCCCCUCCGGGCACUCCCCGCGUGCACUGCCGGCCUUGCACCUUCGCGCGCCCGCAGAGCCUUUGCACCCGUCUUAGGUGCUUCAAAUCCGGGCAGAAUGCUCUGAAGAGAUUGACACAUGUUCAUGGUUCUCAUUAAAGAAGCUUCAUGUAAGGCAGAUGAAGGAGGACAGCGAUUG
rnacentral:lncRNA from 1 species